rnacentral:rRNA from 1 species
GUAGGGUGCAAGCGUUAAUCGGAAUUACUGGGCGUAAAGCGUGCGCAGGCGGUCGUGCAAGACAGAUGUGAAAUCCCCGGGCUUAACCUGGGAACUGCAUUUGUGACUGCACGGCUGGAGUGCGGCAGAGGGGGAUGGAAUUCCGCGUGUAGCAGUGAAAUGCGUAGAUAUGCGGAGGAACACCGAUGUCGAAGGCAAUCCCCUGGGCCUGCACUGACGCUCAUGCACGAAAGCGUGGGGAGCAAACAGGAUUAGAUACCCUGGUAGUCCACGCCCUAAACGAUGUCAACUGGUUGUUGGGAAGGUUCCUUCUCAGUAACGAAGCUAACGCGUGAAGUUGACCGCCUGGGGAGUACGGCCGCAAGGUUG